GAUGAAGAACGUAGCGAAAUGCGAUAAGUAGUGUGAAUUGCAGAAUUCAGUGAAUCAUCGAAUCUUUGAACGCACAUUGCGCCCCUUGGUAUCCGAGGGGCAUGCCUGUUCGAGCGUCAUUUCACCACUCAAGCCUGGCUUGGUGUUGGGCGACGUCCCCUUUGGGGACGCGCCUCGAAACGCUCGGCGGCGUGGCACCGGCUUUAAGCGUAGCAGAAUCUUUCGCUUUGGAAGUCGGGGCCCCGUCUGCCGGAAGACCUACUCGCAAGGUUGACCUCGGAUCAGGCAGGGAUACCCGCUGAACUUAAGCAUAUCAAUAAGCGGAGGA
rnacentral:misc_RNA from 1 species